GUCCAUAAUUUUGAGUAAGUCAUUCAUCAAGUACUUUAUAUGUACUGGAAACCAUUUCUGAGGGGGAUGAAGUGAUGGAAGAUAAUGAGCCGGAGGGUGGAAUGGAAGAGAAAGGGAAAGAGAUAAAGAAAAAGGCAGAAUGAAAAAGGACUAGAUCAUGACAAGGAGCACACAGCGAAUGUGACUGAUCGGCAGAGGAUGUUUACUCCUAUAUUGCACCUGAUCCCACCUCUGAUGUUUUUAUAGAACUUGCAAUAGAAGAAAAAGUUUAGGGAAAUUAAGAGGAAGAAAUUGAAGAUGAAAAGAAGAGCUCUGGGAGGAAAAAAGUGAGCAUAGUGCAGUUAUUUCUAUGAUUUUACAUUUUAGUGAUGGAUUAUCAGAUGCAGUCUGAAUCAUAAACCUUAUCUACUGAUAAAGAAGAUGGGCGAACAAGGCAAGUAAAUGCCCAUUGUGUGACAAAAAAGAUUUAAAGAGUUAAAUCUUAAUCAUGUCAAAAUUUUCUUUGAUAUUUCAUUUAACAUUAAUGUAUACUUUAUGUAAAAUCUUUGCA